AUCAGCAUUAGCAUUAUCAGCAGCAGUAUCAGCAUCAGAAUUAGCAUCAUCAACGAUGAACACCCGAUCGGCUGAUAUUUGCGAGAAGAUUCGGCAAAUGCAGACGACUAUUAGCAAGAUGCAAGCUGCUACUGAUCAGUUGAGCAACACAAUGCAUAGGUUAUUCAAAUACCAAAACACUACAGAUUCAAAAAUUCUCAUGGAAAGAACGAUGCGAAAUCUACGGUUCCACAUGAUCUUCCUCAGAACCCUACAUGAAGAGCUGCAAACACAAAUUACAAAUUAAAAUAGAAACUCAACAAUCAUAACCUACACGAUUCCAUUACACGACGGGGAGAAGGCCGAAUUUCAAUGGGGUUUGGAGUCAAUAAAUACUUUGGGAGUGACGAUCCAAGGGGUCCCCAGGGAAACGGCGGCGAAAUAAGAUAGAAAAAAAAAAAAAAAAUAAAUAACUAAAUAAAUAUUAUUUUAUAGUAUUUUAUACAGUAUUCGAAACUACUCUUUCUAUAUUUUUUUUAUAAUUAUCACUAGCAUUGUAUUCAAUGAAAUAACCUACAUAUAUAUGUAUACAUAUAUAGAUAUAGAUUUUUUUUAUUUUUCAUUCAUAUGUGCAUAAAAUCAUAAUGUCCAUAUACAUUUUUUUUUUAUUGGGAGAUAAUCCCGUACCGAAUGUACUCUCAAUGCUUUAUAUCGAGUCAAACAUUCAUAAUCAACAUUUGUAGACAUUAAAACAAAAACAUAACAGAGGUCAUUAAUAUAAAUCAUGACAUAUUUAAUAUCUACACUGUGCGACAUUUAUUAAUUCCUUCAGCAUAACAAUCAGUAAACCAAAAAUUGGACAUACAUCAUAAUUUUUGGCAAACUAAGGCUAGGGGAAAAAUAACGCGCUUUCAACCAAACUUUUGAUUCCAAACGGUAUCAAGAAUGAAAAUAGUUUAGUCAAAAAACAUUAGACAAAGUAGAUAAUAACAGAGCACGCAACAUUACCAUGCUGCACUUAAUAUUUUAGACACAUAAUUUUUUUUUUUCUUUUCCCGACUUUUGCUGUCCGCAUCCCUUUUAUAUAAUCUAGGUGAAGGUAGCACUAAUCUGCACGAGCACGUAUUUGCAAUGCACUGAAUGCAAAAUAUAGAGUUAUAAAUGGAACGAAACGUUUUUUCUUCCGUAAAUAAAGAAAUAAACGUCUCAUAUCAUUCCAGAAUCAGGAAUGGACAGACACACGAAUGAGCGCCCUCGUAUGAUUAGGAUAUGGAGACACCCCAAUAAAGAAAUCUUAGAGGCGAGGAAAAGGAAACACCGAAUAUUAAUUAUCGCGAGACAAUUGCAAAAGAAAGUAGAAAAAAUGCAUAAAUUAUUAGAUGUAUUUAAACAAUAUUGCGAAGCGAAAAUCGACGAAAUAGAAAAUACCGAUAGUCACGAAGAAUUGGAGGAGAUUUCGGCGGACGAAAUAGAUACAGAUAAUGAUAGCAGAUAAAGGUAGGAUAUUCUUUCUAUUACUUCAGGCUUAACUUGAGAAAAUGAGAGAAACUUGCAAAAUAAAAAUAAAAAAAUAAUACUAAACUUAACUAUUCAUAAUGGCUACUAACGCUUGAAUUAUAACGGUAAAAGAACGCCGACGGAAUGACACAGAUCCCGUUAAAUAGCCUCACUAAAUAAAUAAUAAAAAUUAUAAUAUUCAUAUACAUAUGCAUAUGUAUAUACAUGUAUGUAUAUGCAUAACAUUAGAAUCAUACUCAUGAAGUAACAAUACUGUGGGCUGGCAUGAGUUCGAGUAUCGAUUGUCACCUUUGCGAUAACCUGAAAACAAGUGAAGAAAUAAGUAGAAUAUAUAAUAAAAUACUGUAACGAUAGGCCACUGACGAGUAGUAUGUAAAAUUAUGAAUUGAAGUGUAAGAUUUAGAAUAAGCCUGAAAUUCCUUCAGCAUGAAUGAGCUGAAACAUGCAACGCCCUACAGUUGCGGCUUAAGGUUCCGAAUAUUGGCACCUAAUUCUUCAGGAUAUCAGGGAUCGAACUUGAUGUUCUGCGGACCUUCGGCCUGAAAAGAAAAGAAGAAAAGAAAACAACAACGACGAACAAAACACAAUCCUAUUUUGCUUUCCUUACCUGCUCCCCUAUAUCCUUCUUCCGACCUCUUGAUACUCGAAAAUCAAUUCGAACUAUCGCUGAAAAGAUGCUCACGUCAUGUUCUCACUCAGAAAAUACCGCGUACACUUGGAAAAGGACGAAGAAAAUGAAAACAAAAUAUUUAAAAGAGAGGUCACAAUCUUGCUGACCAACACUAAACAACAGAUAUUCAAAAUACCUUACAUGCGUAAACCAAGCAUUCUACACGAUCGUGACGACGAUGGGAAGUUCCACAGGAUAAUGGAGACUACAACGGAGCGAGCAUGCAGUAGAAGUACUCUCUACAGUGCAAAGCAGCAUAACCAUCAUCAUACUGGAAAUGGGAGCCCAAGAUAUCCAAGUCAAGCAAUAAUUCAAAAUCAAUGAAAACGAAUACCGGAAUCCAACCUCCGCUACUAACAAGAAGUACGAAUGCAAGAUAUGAGUGGAGAACGAGAACAAAUCGCAGAAAAUUGAAUACCAAAAUUGAACAGCAUACAGAUAGACCUGUCACAGCACCAUUGGAUGAACGAAACCUUCCUUACCAUAUGAAAGUCCCCAUACCUUUCUAAUAAUCCUAGCCAAAGAAAACAACAAAUGUACGUACUAUGACCAGACUUCGGCAGUUGAUCCGCAGGCAUUAGUCGAUCCAUGAUACCAAAACGGACAACAGAACAGCAAGGAGCUAAGGAUACCGAAGAACACGAGCGGAACAGGAUCAGAAGAUUAUUAUUUUACUACACUGUAUCUCUUAUUAUGAUAUAUCAUGUUCAAUUACAUUAAAGUCCAAUACUUAAGAUCUAUGGGUACCUCGCAAACGUGACAAUACGUAAUUUAACUAUACGAAAGUGACUUGGACCACUUAACACUACGCUUAAGCCUAUAAUAAUUUAAAAAUCAAAUAAUCAAACAUAUAUUGGGCAAAAAUAUUUCAUGAAAUUUAAAUAUUCUAUAUCUAUCUAUAUAUGUUCACUGCAAGCAAUACCUGGGUUUACUCAAUUGGGAAGUAACCACUUAUAAGCACCUCCCUUUUUCGCAAUAAUACCUACACGAAUAUAUAUCUAAAUUAAACCUACGAUUACAGAAUACAUAAAAUGGAUCCAUCAAUCCGAUACAGGACGUUACGAGCGUCCUUAAUACUGAAUUAUCCUGUUAGUCUGAGGAAUCAAAUAUAUAAUAAACUUACUACGUAUUCCACAAAAAUCGCAGACUGCAGAAAAGCAAGGGAAAAACCGGCAGCGCUUAACAAUUUAACAGAAAAUCUCGAAGAAAUACUCAAACCACUACACAUCGCUGUCAUACAAGGAGUACUAUUUGGCAACAUGCACUUUAUAAAAUUGGACACGAAUCCUCAAAUCAUGAAAUUUUACAUGAAUGACGAAUACGAUUGGCGCAAGGAAGCCAAACUGUGUCGACAAAUAAUUAAAACAUUUAAAAGACUACUGAAAUGAAGAAAAAACUAGGAACAUUAAAUACGUGAAGUGGGAUUGCAAAACUCAGUGCAACAAAUAAUUAGAGAUUAAAUAGUGAAAUACUUGAAUCGAAUAGUUAAAAUCAAUCAAAUACUGUCAAACAUGCAACGCUUAGAUAAAAAUAAAUUAUAAUAUGUUUAAUUGAAUUUCAGUGGGUUAGGAGCUUAUCCUUUCGAGCUAAUGUACCGGAGAAUCCCCUGAUAGAGUUCAUAACGAUAAAAUAUGUAAAAACCACAAAACUAUGGAAUAAGGACCGUGAUUGGUUGAUUUUUCACAAAAAAAAAAAGACGAAACUAUAAUAGACUUUUACAGUUGCUUUUGUCGCUAAAACAGACAAAAGCAACUGCACUCACCAUUGUCAUGUUACGUAUUCACAUACGUUUUCUAUGAAUGAUAUCCCCUUGAAGCAAUUGCAAAAUAUAAAGGAUGAAAUCAAUCAAAUAUAAAUACUAAAUACCGCUAUAAAUUACUGAUCAUAUAUUUCAACCAGAGGUCAUGUAACAAAACAUUCUUAGAUGAAUGACCAAAAGGAUUCUAUAUAUAAAUAAGAAUAAAGAAAUGAAAAGAUAGAAACAUUGACGGAGGACGGAACAGUAUUUCUCCCUCUGACGUCGCAAGCCGAUGACCUUUAAUACAAUCAUUGCACAGAAUAAAUAAAUGAUUACUUAAAAUAAAAAUAAUUCGGGACCAUGAAGGAGCCCACAUACCAAUGAUUAGAAAGAAACUCAGCUUUGCGACGUUAGAACAGGGUUAAACCGCGAGGACGAGUAACGCACCCUCUCAAAAAUGACGAAAUCUUGGAAAUUUCCACGUAUAUAUUGAUACGAGUCAAUCUAAGAAUGAUGUGACUCCGAUUGAAAUAAAUGAAAAGACAAACGAAGAAUGAAAUACAAAAGAGAAAUCAUAAUUCUGAAAAAUAGAAGCAAUUGCAAAGUAUAAAUACCGCUAUAAAUAACUGAUCAUAUAUAUCAACCAGAGGUCAUGUAACGAAACAUUCUUAGAUGAAUGACCAAAAGGAUUCUAUAUAUAAAUAAAAAUAAAGAAAUGAAAAGAUAGAAACAUUGACGGAGGACGGAACAGUAUUUCUCCCUCUGACGUCGCAAGCCGAUGACCUUUAAUACAAUCAUUGCACAGAAUAAAUAAAUGAUUACUUAAAAUAAAAAUAAUUCGGGACCAUACAGGAGCCCACAUACCAAUGAUUAAAAGAAACUCAGCUUUGGGACGUUAGAACAGGGUUAAACCGCGAGGACGAGUAACGCACCCUCUCAAAAAUGACGAAAUCUUGGAAAUUUCCACGUAUAUAUUGAUACGAGUCAAUCUAAGAAUGAUAUGACUCCGAUUGAAAUAAAUGAAAAGAAAAACGAAUAAUUUAAAUACAAAAGAGAAAUCAUAAUUCAGAAAAAUAGAUAAAUUCGACUGUUGCAUCAAAAAGGAUGCAUGAAAAGUCAAGAAAUAACGUAAACUAAAUAUUCCAUAAGACAAUGGCCAUGAAAAGUUAUGAAAAAAUAGAAUUUGUUAAUAAACAAUUAACAAACAUUUAUAACAACAAAAUGCAAAUCAGUGGAAAAGAAAGAACGAUCACCGGGGUAAGCACCCACCAAAAAUCUUUUCUUAAUCUUCAUAAACAGUUGAGAUAUUUAUUUUUGAAGUUUCAUACAGACACAUACAAGCCCAUGUAUCCGUGUGUCCACAAAACUUUGGAAAAUUCUAGCGUACGCAUUAUUGAUGAUGGAGAAAUGGUUUCCAUACAAAAGGGACUCCAUAUUCUGAAAACUAUUUAUUUCACUCAUAAAAAUAAUAAAAUUUAUUAACAAAUAUAAUUGUUGUAAACAAAAUAUACAUGAAAUAUUCUACGAACAAUUCACAAAAAUCGUAAAAGGAAGUUCUGUAGAUCCUAAAUAUGUAUUUCAAAAAUCUCUUCUUAAUCUUCAUAAAUAGUGAAGAUAUUCAUUUUUAAACUUUUACACACACCCACACAUACAAACCCAUGUAUCGGUGUGUCCACAAAAACUUUGGAAAAUUCUAGCGUCCGCAUUAUUGACGAUAGAGAAAUGGUUUCCAGACAAAAAAGGACUCCAUAUAUUGAAAACUAUUUAUUCCAUUCAUAAAAAUGAUAAAAAUUAUUAACAAAUAUAAUUGUUGUAAACAAAACGUACAUGAAAAAUCCUGUAAACAAUUCAGAAAAAUCGUAAAAGGAAGUUCAGUAGAUCCUUGAUAUGUAACAAAAAAAAUCUUUUCUUAAUCUUCAUAAACAGUGAAGAUAUUGAUUUUUAAAUAAUUCACACUAUACACACACACUCAAAUCCUUGUAUCGGUGUAUGCAAAUAAAGUUCGAGAAUUGAUAGCGCUUUCCCUAUGGGACAUAUGCAAAAACAUCCCAUAUAGAAACUACGGCAUAAAUUGUGAACUACAAAAAUAUGUAAUAAAAAAUUGUAAAAGUCAAUAGACAAAACUGAAUGUCUAUUGACAUGUCAUUAAGAAUUACCCCUAAAAAAUCUAAAAUUGGCGAAAUUAGUGCAUUUAAAUAACAAGAACAAGAAUAUGAAAGAAAAUUAAACAAAACUCAACAAUUUAAACAUGUCAAUUUUGAUAAAUUAGCGAUCUUAAUUGUAAAUGUUAAUAACCACGAAAUUAAUGAACGAAUUGCUACCGAAAAAUCCAUAAAAAUAGUCCACUGAAUCCUCUAACGACUGAGCCAUUGAUUAGAUUUUUCACGUUAUAAACAACGCCAUUAAAAGUUAAUAAACAUUUUUCAAGGUCAAGUCAAUAUCUCCGAAAGUUGUAUAGUUAAGAAAAUGAAAAUUUAUGGAAAAAUGCUAUAAAAUGUGGACAUUUGAAUGGAUGAAUAAUUGUUCCUGAUUACUGAAAAAUACUAUUGUUAUUAACAAUUGAAAUGUUAUAAAAAAUUGUCAAAAAAGUUUUAAUACUAGAAUCGUAUUUCUAGACCAAAAAUAGGGUCAAAAACGAAUUUUGUCAAAUUUGUCAAGAGACAAUGUCAAUAGACAAAAAUUGCUUAUAGUAGUACCAUGAGGAUGCCAAAAGGAUCCAUUUAAGCUAUAGUGAAAAUCACGUUCAAAAAUUAAUUUUAAAACAGAAAAAUCAUUGUCAAAAUAUCAGAAAUAAUUUUUAAGAAUUAAAAAUGUAAAAAUGAAAAAUGUAAUAAGGCAUAAGAGAAUGUCACAGCAUUAGAUGAGACUACACACAGAACAUAUGAAUACGCAUCACGCGCCAUCCCUACUCUCAGUCAAGUGGAGUUGCACGUUAAACGAAGCAUCCCCACCAUCCCUACUACUGGAUAGCGUGCGCCAACGAUCGACGCGGUGAAUAAUCGGUCAGAGUAGUCUCAGUGCCGCAGAGAAACGGCAGUUCAACUUCAACAUCAGCCAGCAGCAGUCAUCUCUCCGAAGAGCUCCGGGAACAUUAAAUCGACUAAGUUCCAAAUUAUUUUUGGACUUAGAAAAUAUUUCGUGAGUUGUGGACUUGGAAAAAUUUCAAAAGAAAACGUCAAUAAGUGAAAUCAAAAAAAAAACUUUAUUCAAAAAGACUACAGAAAACGUAUCAUCCAUCCAGCCAAGCAGCCGUCCAGACAGCGACCCAAAGGACUAAUUAUAAAAGAAACAACGAAAAAUCAGGAAUGGACAGACACACGAAUGAGCGCCCUCGUAUGAUUAGGAUAUGGAGACACCCCAAUAAAGAAAUCUUAGAGGCGAGGAAAAGGAAACACCGAAUAUUAAUUAUCGCGAGACAAUUGCAAAAGAAAGUAGAAAAAAUGCAUAAAUUAUUAGAUGUAUUUAAACAAUAUUGCGAAGCGAAAAUCGACGAAAUAGAAAAUACCGAUAGUCACGAAGAAUUGGAGGAGAUUUCGGCGGACGAAAUAGAUACAGAUAAUGAUAGCAGAUAAAGGUAGGAUAUUCUUUCUAUUACUUCAGGCUUAACUUGAGAAAAUGAGAGAAACUUGCAAAAUAAAAAUAAAAAAAUAAUACUAAACUUAACUAUUCAUAAUGGCUACUAACGCUUGAAUUAUAACGGUAAAAGAACGCCGACGGAAUGACACAGAUCCCGUUAAAUAGCCUCACUAAAUAAAUAAUAAAAAUUAUAAUAUUCAUAUACAUAUGCAUAUGUAUAUACAUGUAUGUAUAUGCAUAACAUUAGAAUCAUACUCAUGAAGUAACAAUACUGUGGGCUGGCAUGAGUUCGAGUAUCGAUUGUCACCUUUGCGAUAACCUGAAAACAAGUGAAGAAAUAAGUAGAAUAUAUAAUAAAAUACUGUAACGAUAGGCCACUGACGAGUAGUAUGUAAAAUUAUGAAUUGAAGUGUAAGAUUUAGAAUAAGCCUGAAAUUCCUUCAGCAUGAAUGAGCUGAAACAUGCAACGCCCUACAGUUGCGGCUUAAGGUUCCGAAUAUUGGCACCUAAUUCUUCAGGAUAUCAGGGAUCGAACUUGAUGUUCUGCGGACCUUCGGCCUGAAAAGAAAAGAAGAAAAGAAAACAACAACGACGAACAAAACACAAUCCUAUUUUGCUUUCCUUACCUGCUCCCCUAUAUCCUUCUUCCGACCUCUUGAUACUCGAAAAUCAAUUCGAACUAUCGCUGAAAAGAUGCUCACGUCAUGUUCUCACUCAGAAAAUACCGCGUACACUUGGAAAAGGACGAAGAAAAUGAAAACAAAAUAUUUAAAAGAGAGGUCACAAUCUUGCUGACCAACACUAAACAACAGAUAUUCAAAAUACCUUACAUGCGUAAACCAAGCAUUCUACACGAUCGUGACGACGAUGGGAAGUUCCACAGGAUAAUGGAGACUACAACGGAGCGAGCAUGCAGUAGAAGUACUCUCUACAGUGCAAAGCAGCAUAACCAUCAUCAUACUGGAAAUGGGAGCCCAAGAUAUCCAAGUCAAGCAAUAAUUCAAAAUCAAUGAAAACGAAUACCGGAAUCCAACCUCCGCUACUAACAAGAAGUACGAAUGCAAGAUAUGAGUGGAGAACGAGAACAAAUCGCAGAAAAUUGAAUACCAAAAUUGAACAGCAUACAGAUAGACCUGUCACAGCACCAUUGGAUGAACGAAACCUUCCUUACCAUAUGAAAGUCCCCAUACCUUUCUAAUAAUCCUAGCCAAAGAAAACAACAAAUGUACGUACUAUGACCAGACUUCGGCAGUUGAUCCGCAGGCAUUAGUCGAUCCAUGAUACCAAAACGGACAACAGAACAGCAAGGAGCUAAGGAUACCGAAGAACACGAGCGGAACAGGAUCAGAAGAUUAUUAUUUUACUACACUGUAUCUCUUAUUAUGAUAUAUCAUGUUCAAUUACAUUAAAGUCCAAUACUUAAGAUCUAUGGGUACCUCGCAAACGUGACAAUACGUAAUUUAACUAUACGAAAGUGACUUGGACCACUUAACACUACGCUUAAGCCUAUAAUAAUUUAAAAAUCAAAUAAUCAAACAUAUAUUGGGCAAAAAUAUUUCAUGAAAUUUAAAUAUUCUAUAUCUAUCUAUAUAUGUUCACUGCAAGCAAUACCUGGGUUUACUCAAUUGGGAAGUAACCACUUAUAAGCACCUCCCUUUUUCGCAAUAAUACCUACACGAAUAUAUAUCUAAAUUAAACCUACGAUUACAGAAUACAUAAAAUGGAUCCAUCAAUCCGAUACAGGACGUUACGAGCGUCCUUAAUACUGAAUUAUCCUGUUAGUCUGAGGAAUCAAAUAUAUAAUAAACUUACUACGUAUUCCACAAAAAUCGCAGACUGCAGAAAAGCAAGGGAAAAACCGGCAGCGCUUAACAAUUUAACAGAAAAUCUCGAAGAAAUACUCAAACCACUACACAUCGCUGUCAUACAAGGAGUACUAUUUGGCAACAUGCACUUUAUAAAAUUGGACACGAAUCCUCAAAUCAUGAAAUUUUACAUGAAUGACGAAUACGAUUGGCGCAAGGAAGCCAAACUGUGUCGACAAAUAAUUAAAACAUUUAAAAGACUACUGAAAUGAAGAAAAAACUAGGAACAUUAAAUACGUGAAGUGGGAUUGCAAAACUCAGUGCAACAAAUAAUUAGAGAUUAAAUAGUGAAAUACUUGAAUCGAAUAGUUAAAAUCAAUCAAAUACUGUCAAACAUGCAACGCUUAGAUAAAAAUAAAUUAUAAUAUGUUUAAUUGAAUUUCAGUGGGUUAGGAGCUUAUCCUUUCGAGCUAAUGUACCGGAGAAUCCCCUGAUAGAGUUCAUAACGAUAAAAUAUGUAAAAACCACAAAACUAUGGAAUAAGGACCGUGAUUGGUUGAUUUUUCACAAAAAAAAAAAGACGAAACUAUAAUAGACUUUUACAGUUGCUUUUGUCGCUAAAACAGACAAAAGCAACUGCACUCACCAUUGUCAUGUUACGUAUUCACAUACGUUUUCUAUGAAUGAUAUCCCCUUGAAGCAAUUGCAAAAUAUAAAGGAUGAAAUCAAUCAAAUAUAAAUACUAAAUACCGCUAUAAAUUACUGAUCAUAUAUUUCAACCAGAGGUCAUGUAACAAAACAUUCUUAGAUGAAUGACCAAAAGGAUUCUAUAUAUAAAUAAGAAUAAAGAAAUGAAAAGAUAGAAACAUUGACGGAGGACGGAACAGUAUUUCUCCCUCUGACGUCGCAAGCCGAUGACCUUUAAUACAAUCAUUGCACAGAAUAAAUAAAUGAUUACUUAAAAUAAAAAUAAUUCGGGACCAUGAAGGAGCCCACAUACCAAUGAUUAGAAAGAAACUCAGCUUUGCGACGUUAGAACAGGGUUAAACCGCGAGGACGAGUAACGCACCCUCUCAAAAAUGACGAAAUCUUGGAAAUUUCCACGUAUAUAUUGAUACGAGUCAAUCUAAGAAUGAUGUGACUCCGAUUGAAAUAAAUGAAAAGACAAACGAAGAAUGAAAUACAAAAGAGAAAUCAUAAUUCUGAAAAAUAGAAGCAAUUGCAAAGUAUAAAUACCGCUAUAAAUAACUGAUCAUAUAUAUCAACCAGAGGUCAUGUAACGAAACAUUCUUAGAUGAAUGACCAAAAGGAUUCUAUAUAUAAAUAAAAAUAAAGAAAUGAAAAGAUAGAAACAUUGACGGAGGACGGAACAGUAUUUCUCCCUCUGACGUCGCAAGCCGAUGACCUUUAAUACAAUCAUUGCACAGAAUAAAUAAAUGAUUACUUAAAAUAAAAAUAAUUCGGGACCAUACAGGAGCCCACAUACCAAUGAUUAAAAGAAACUCAGCUUUGGGACGUUAGAACAGGGUUAAACCGCGAGGACGAGUAACGCACCCUCUCAAAAAUGACGAAAUCUUGGAAAUUUCCACGUAUAUAUUGAUACGAGUCAAUCUAAGAAUGAUAUGACUCCGAUUGAAAUAAAUGAAAAGAAAAACGAAUAAUUUAAAUACAAAAGAGAAAUCAUAAUUCAGAAAAAUAGAUAAAUUCGACUGUUGCAUCAAAAAGGAUGCAUGAAAAGUCAAGAAAUAACGUAAACUAAAUAUUCCAUAAGACAAUGGCCAUGAAAAGUUAUGAAAAAAUAGAAUUUGUUAAUAAACAAUUAACAAACAUUUAUAACAACAAAAUGCAAAUCAGUGGAAAAGAAAGAACGAUCACCGGGGUAAGCACCCACCAAAAAUCUUUUCUUAAUCUUCAUAAACAGUUGAGAUAUUUAUUUUUGAAGUUUCAUACAGACACAUACAAGCCCAUGUAUCCGUGUGUCCACAAAACUUUGGAAAAUUCUAGCGUACGCAUUAUUGAUGAUGGAGAAAUGGUUUCCAUACAAAAGGGACUCCAUAUUCUGAAAACUAUUUAUUUCACUCAUAAAAAUAAUAAAAUUUAUUAACAAAUAUAAUUGUUGUAAACAAAAUAUACAUGAAAUAUUCUACGAACAAUUCACAAAAAUCGUAAAAGGAAGUUCUGUAGAUCCUAAAUAUGUAUUUCAAAAAUCUCUUCUUAAUCUUCAUAAAUAGUGAAGAUAUUCAUUUUUAAACUUUUACACACACCCACACAUACAAACCCAUGUAUCGGUGUGUCCACAAAAACUUUGGAAAAUUCUAGCGUCCGCAUUAUUGACGAUAGAGAAAUGGUUUCCAGACAAAAAAGGACUCCAUAUAUUGAAAACUAUUUAUUCCAUUCAUAAAAAUGAUAAAAAUUAUUAACAAAUAUAAUUGUUGUAAACAAAACGUACAUGAAAAAUCCUGUAAACAAUUCAGAAAAAUCGUAAAAGGAAGUUCAGUAGAUCCUUGAUAUGUAACAAAAAAAAUCUUUUCUUAAUCUUCAUAAACAGUGAAGAUAUUGAUUUUUAAAUAAUUCACACUAUACACACACACUCAAAUCCUUGUAUCGGUGUAUGCAAAUAAAGUUCGAGAAUUGAUAGCGCUUUCCCUAUGGGACAUAUGCAAAAACAUCCCAUAUAGAAACUACGGCAUAAAUUGUGAACUACAAAAAUAUGUAAUAAAAAAUUGUAAAAGUCAAUAGACAAAACUGAAUGUCUAUUGACAUGUCAUUAAGAAUUACCCCUAAAAAAUCUAAAAUUGGCGAAAUUAGUGCAUUUAAAUAACAAGAACAAGAAUAUGAAAGAAAAUUAAACAAAACUCAACAAUUUAAACAUGUCAAUUUUGAUAAAUUAGCGAUCUUAAUUGUAAAUGUUAAUAACCACGAAAUUAAUGAACGAAUUGCUACCGAAAAAUCCAUAAAAAUAGUCCACUGAAUCCUCUAACGACUGAGCCAUUGAUUAGAUUUUUCACGUUAUAAACAACGCCAUUAAAAGUUAAUAAACAUUUUUCAAGGUCAAGUCAAUAUCUCCGAAAGUUGUAUAGUUAAGAAAAUGAAAAUUUAUGGAAAAAUGCUAUAAAAUGUGGACAUUUGAAUGGAUGAAUAAUUGUUCCUGAUUACUGAAAAAUACUAUUGUUAUUAACAAUUGAAAUGUUAUAAAAAAUUGUCAAAAAAGUUUUAAUACUAGAAUCGUAUUUCUAGACCAAAAAUAGGGUCAAAAACGAAUUUUGUCAAAUUUGUCAAGAGACAAUGUCAAUAGACAAAAAUUGCUUAUAGUAGUACCAUGAGGAUGCCAAAAGGAUCCAUUUAAGCUAUAGUGAAAAUCACGUUCAAAAAUUAAUUUUAAAACAGAAAAAUCAUUGUCAAAAUAUCAGAAAUAAUUUUUAAGAAUUAAAAAUGUAAAAAUGAAAAAUGUAAUAAGGCAUAAGAGAAUGUCACAGCAUUAGAUGAGACUACACACAGAACAUAUGAAUACGCAUCACGCGCCAUCCCUACUCUCAGUCAAGUGGAGUUGCACGUUAAACGAAGCAUCCCCACCAUCCCUACUACUGGAUAGCGUGCGCCAACGAUCGACGCGGUGAAUAAUCGGUCAGAGUAGUCUCAGUGCCGCAGAGAAACGGCAGUUCAACUUCAACAUCAGCCAGCAGCAGUCAUCUCUCCGAAGAGCUCCGGGAACAUUAAAUCGACUAAGUUCCAAAUUAUUUUUGGACUUAGAAAAUAUUUCGUGAGUUGUGGACUUGGAAAAAUUUC